rnacentral:rRNA from 1 species
AGUGAACGCUGGCGGUAGGCCUAACACAUGCAAGUCGAACGGCAGCACAGUAAGAGCUUGCUCUUACGGGUGGCGAGUGGCGGACGGGUGAGGAAUACAUCGGAAUCUACUUUUUCGUGGGGGAUAACGUAGGGAAACUUACGCUAAUACCGCAUACGACCUACGGGUGAAAGCAGGGGAUCUUCGGACCUUGCGCGAUUGAAUGAGCCGAUGUCGGAUUAGCUAGUUGGCGGGGUAAAGGCCCACCAAGGCGACGAUCCGUAGCUGGUCUGAGAGGAUGAUCAGCCACACUGGAACUGAGACACGGUCCAGACUCUUACGGGAGGCAGCAGUGGGGAAUAUUGGACAAUGGGCGCAAGCCUGAUCCAGCCAUACCGCGUGGGUGAAGAAGGCCUUCGGGUUGUAAAGCCCUUUUGUUGGGAAAGAAAAGCAGUAGGUUAAUACCCCGCUGUUCUGACGGUACCCAAAGAAUAAGCACCGGCUAACUUCGUG